rnacentral:rRNA from 1 species
UACGGGGGGGGCAAGCGUUGUUCGGAAUUACUGGGCGUAAAGGGCUCGUAGGUGGCCAACUAAGUCAGACGUGAAAUCCCUCGGCUUAACCGGGGAACUGCAUCUGAUACUGGAUGGCUUGAGUUUGGGAGAGGGACGCGGAAUUCCAGGUGUAGCGGUGAAAUGCGUAGAUAUACGGAGGAAUACCUGAGGCGAAGGCGGGUUGCUGGGCCAACACUGACGCUGAGGCGCGAAAGCCAGGGGAGCAAACGGG